GGAAAGCGUCAGGAUUUUCCCAUAAUCCUUUGCUGCAGCUUGUGUCUGACCUCUGUGCGCUAAGAGACGGAGAGAAAUGGCGCCUCCUGUGCAGGUUUCCCCUCUGAUUAAGACCGCCCGGUACUCGGCUCUGAUUGUGGGGAUGAUCUACGGUAAAAAGCGCUAUGAUUACCUGAAGCCCAUAGCGGCGGAGGAGAGGAGGAUCGAGGAGGAGGAGAAGAAAGUGAGGGAGGAACAGGAACGCAUCGCCAAACAGCUGGCUGAGGCAAACGAAGACACGAUCCUGAAGUGAGCUCUGGAGUGUGUUGUUUAUGGACCCGUUCUGGAGGUCUCGCUGUUCUUCUCUUCCUCUACAUUUAAUGCCUUCAUACAAUGAAUAAGAUUUGUGUCUUUAGUAAAAUUUAGUCCAUGACCAUGUGUGCACCUGAGUGUUUCUCCUCCUCACCUCCUUAGCAGAGAGUGAGGUGUAUUUACUUUCUCAACGACGUAUACACACACACACAGAUCUGUCUAAUGUUCAUCAUCACCUCAGUGACGCAGUAAAGAGCUGCAGACGUGUGGAUAAUUUAGGGGUUUUCCCAGAAAUAAAGCAACUUGUGUUUAGCGGUGGGAUCAAUUCACUGUCCCGCUUAUCAGGAGUAUUUAUAAAUAAAUAAAUUUCCCCAAUUGUGAA